GUGACGAAGCGACGCCGCGUGUGGGAAGAAGGCCUUCGGGUUGUAAACCACUGUCGGGAGUUAAGAAGUGUAAGGGUGUUAAGAGCAUCCUUGCUUGACGUUAGCUCCGGAGGAAGCCACGGCUAACUCUGUGCCAGCAGCCGCGGUAAUACAGAGGUGGCAAGCGUUGUUCGGAAUUAUUGGGCGUAAAGAGCACGUAGGCGGCCCUGCAAGUCAGCUGUGAAAUCCUUCUGCUCAACGGAAGAACGGCAGUUGAUACUACAGGGCUCGAGUGCGGGAGGGGAGAGUGGAACUUCUGGUGGAGCGGUGAAAUGCGUAGAUAUCAGAAGGAACAUCGGCGGCGAAAGCGACUCUCUGGCCCGUAACUGACGCUGAGGUGCGAAAGCUAGGGGAGCAAACGGGAUUAGAUACCCCGGUAGUCCUAGCCGUAAACGAUGGGCACUAAGUAGAGGGGUUUU
rnacentral:rRNA from 1 species